AUUUUGUGGAGGCUGCUAAAUGAUUCAGAUUCUGAAGAUUCCAUUCUGCCUCAUCAGGACUUGGGCACUCGUCUUUAUUAAUUGGCAGAAAACAAAGAAUAUUUGAUUAGUCAGGUGAUGGUGAACCUUCAGUGUAGAAUGGAGUGUCGAGAACUGAAACUGGACUUGGUUGUUCCAUUGUGAUCACUGCGGGCAUGUCUUCUUUUGGUGUUGUCACAUAAUCCUGUGGCAGAAAUGCUAACUGUCAAUUAUCAGCAUAAAGCAACUCAUCUAGACAGAAAAGUAAGCAUAGUUUGCUUUACUUGCCUGGUGUUCUCUGGAAUUCAAGCUAAAGAGAUUAACCGAGCUUACAGCAUCUGUUUCUGCCUGUGAUGCUACACUAUUGUUGCUCUCUGAUUUUGAAGAAGCCGUAUCACCAUGUUGCGUUCUGGCACUCUCUGACUCUGAUGUCGAGGUGUUAGGACGAGAUCCUCUUUCAGGCUUCAGUACAAUAUAUUGCAGUCUUGGACUCACCAUUUGCGAACCUCUUCCAGAGGUAGUGCAAUUUUCUGCUCUUUCUCGUUGAGGUGCAGAAUGCUCUGAUUCUACAUUUCUCGAGUGGAAGAAGUCAACUGCUUAGGACGGAAAGUCUCCUUUGUGGUCAGAGCCGGCUGCUGCUGGAAUGUCUUUCUGUUCUGCAACAUCAACGAGCUAGAAUUCUGAUCGGAGCAGCUGUCCUCCAAAGCGCUUUCUUGCAAUUUGAGUUCAUCAGAUUUCUGUCUUUGAUUUUCCACUUUCUCUCUUGUUUUCUGCAUUGCUUCAAGUAUCUGUUUAAGAGCUCUGAGAUCCUUGCCAGACCUUUUAAAUUCGAGCUCUGUUAUCCUCUUCUCGAUUUGACCAUAAACCGAAGAAGAUGGAAACGAGCCAUCUGCUGGAGCUUUCCCACUUUGUCUAGCCAUCUUCUGAGACUGUUUUUUACUACAAUCUUGAUGCCUCCAUGGAGCGGAUUCCAAUGGCAGCUUUGACCGUGCAUUUGUUUUUACGGCAGAAAUGGCCCUGCGAUGUUGUGGCGAUUGUGUAGCGGGAUUCUUUCGAGAAACAGAUUGUGAGAAAGAAACUUGUUUUAGCUGUCUUCUCUCAGCUGCAGUGGGUGGUUUUGAAAGAAAAGCUACUUUGGGGCUUGCAGUAGAACUCUCAUCUGUGAUGAUGGAAUUCGGGAAAUCAUCCAACCCCAUUAGCUUUGUCACGAUGCUCGAUGAUCGACUAUGACUUCCGGAUUCCUUCGUCACUGGAGGAACUUUACAGCAAAGAGAAUUCAAUCUUGAUUCAAGGGCUGAAUGGAUCAAGGAACUUGCUUUACUGUCAAGUGAGAAUCUUGGAUUUUCUUUAAGCUUCGUGUUCGUCUUAACUGCAUCGUGUGUUUCUCUUCCAGUUCCAUCAUAAGAAAAUCGAGGGAGUAUAUCCUUUGCACCUUUGGACCUCUGCAAAGGUCUGGGAGAAUCGACGUGCUUCAUGCCACGAGCUUCUCUGUACAUCGAGUCUUUCACUAGUCCUCGAAUAUCGGAGGACUCGAGGCCUCUAUUCAAUAGAUGCUUCUGUCCUGUCAUGGAUGAAUGUGUGGAUGAGUGAGAAGAAGAUGGAGAGGAGGCUUCUGGUGAUUCCGAGGACUCUCGUGUUCUUCCCUUCUGCAAAUCCGGAUCUUUCGCCUGCAAAUGUGAUCAGCUUGGAGAAUGAAUGUUGCAAGCUACCUAUUAGUAGCCUCUUGCGUGGGUGGCUCCCAAAACUCCGACCAACGAAAAAGAGGCGAUGAUUGAAGAGCUGAAAUAUGCCGUUGAUGCACCCAAUCUGCCUCGGCAGCACAUCUUCAUUUCCAUCUGAAGUUUUCACCAUCUUUGCUGCGAAAAUCGCUCUCUUCUUCAGUAACCUGAUCAAGAAUUACGACUGUAACUGUAAGCAUAUAUACAUAUUUGCAUAUUGAACGAUCAAUCUCUCCGCAAAUGUGCAGAAAAAAGAGAAGAGGAGAACUCACAGAUGAAGAGAAGGAUGUUGAAUGUGAAAAGAUUUUUUUGGUGGUGUGAAGAAAGGUGAAUGCAAGAGGAGAGGGAAUGUUUAUAUAUACAAAGAUAAGUUUAAUGUUGUAGACAAUGUAACGUGCAUGGGCACGUGUAUUCUGUCAAUGUCAUUACUGCUAAUCCUAAUCAUAAUCCUCCUUCAUUCUAA